AAUAAUGAAGUAAAAUGUUACAAUUAGUUUCGACCUAAUAUUAGGUCACAAUUGACCCUUAUUU
rnacentral:tRNA from 1 species